GACGAACCGUCCUAACGUUGUUCGGAAUCACUGGGCUUAAAGGGCGCGUAGGCGGCUCUGUAAGUCGGGGGUGAAAGCCCACGGCCCAACCGUGGAAGUGCCUCCGAUACUGCGGGGCUCGAGGGAGGUAGGGGCAGCGGGAACUUCCGGUGGAGCGGUGAAAUGCGUUGAUAUCGGAAGGAACGCCGGUGGCGAAAGCGCGCUGCUGGACCUCUGCUGACGCUGAGGCGCGAAAGCCAGGGGAGCAAACGGG
rnacentral:rRNA from 1 species